UACGUAGGGGGCUAGCGUUGUCCGGAAUCAUUGGGCGUAAAGCGCGUGUAGGCGGUUCGGUAAGUCCGCUGUGAAAGUCGGGGGCUCAACCCUCGAAUGCCGGUGGAUACUGUCGGGCUAGAGUGCGGAAGAGGCGAGUGGAAUUCCUGGUGUAGCGGUGAAAUGCGCAGAUAUCAGGAGGAACACCGGUGGCGAAGGCGGGUCUCUGGGCCGAUAUUGACGCUGGAGGAGCGAAAAGCGUGGGGGAGCGAACAGG
rnacentral:rRNA from 1 species